UUUGCCAUGGAAGACUCUACAGUAUACAUAAGAGUCUACAGUGUACAUCCCAACCCUCUACGGCCGUUGCUGCUCCACCCGGGCAUUACCACAUCCACCCGGGUCUACAAGAAACCUCCACGGCCGAGCCUCAACCACAGAACACACCGCUACCGUUGAUGAGGUUCCACGCCCCGGACUACCGCCAUGUUAGCCUCCAUAAUAGUCCUCGGCGCACUUGUUCUGAGACGUCCUGACUGGAGAGCUACACAACACUGGUCAUCCGCUGAGUGGUUGAAUUCCUGGUCUACCGGCCCCUGGAGGAGUGGUCGAUUGCCUGGUCUACCGUGGAUAUGAGUGGUUGAUUCCCUGGUCUACCCCUGGAUGACGCGGCUGUUCCUAUGCAGGGGAAGACUCACACAAGCGAUAAGCACCUGUCGGACCUGGAGACUACCCCCUGAGCCUGACGGUGGAGCUGUGGGCCCUGCACCAGACCCACCCCUCCCCCCACACCACCCACAGCAGGGGCAGGGCGUUGAGAUUCCCCCCACAGGCUAAGACAGGGAGGGACUUGAAGAUCCAGGUUUUUGUCAUCUGCACAGGAGUUGACACAUGGUAUUUGGGAGCAGCGAGUAGCGGGCUUUUUUUUUUUAAUAUAGUUUCCUCUUUUGUGUGUGCCCUUGAGCUGUCUCCUUUGUUGUAGAAAAAAAUACUUGACAAGGCUUUCAUAGGUGUUUGGGGCAUUUCCAGGGGUAGUUUAAUGACCCUGGUGGUAGUCUGACCCUUCCUCUGCACAAUGAACUUGAAAAAAACGCUCAUAAAAAUGCAGAUAUUAACCCAGUAGCAGCGGGGAUCAUGUUUCUUAAUGGUCCCUCCAAGCGAGAAAAAUGAGAAAAAAUCACCCCUCACACAAACCAUUUCAUAUAUAUCAAAGCAUUUGCGAUCAGAUUAUGUAUCAUCUAUUUUUUGGGGUUUAUAUCAUGGCACAAAUUUGGCCUGUCGCUGCUACACGGUAAAGCCACAAAUUUGGCCCGUCGCUGCUACCGGGUUAACCUCAUUAUCAUGUUAAAAUCCCUGUAUCUUACUGUUAUCUUCCUCUCCCUCUAUAUUAUUUGUCAAUCUCUCUCUUUCUCUCUCUCCCACAGAUGUCUAAGGUUUCACCCAUGCAGCUGAAGGGUGCCAAUGCCUACACAUGCAUCGACCACAGGUGUGCGCUGGACAUUGCCUACAAUUCAUGGUGCAAAUGGGAGCGUCAGCGGAGAUCGAGCUGGCGGAAGGUUGGCGGCCGGGUCAAGCUCGCAACGGACAAGGAGUUCUGUGAGAUGUGCUCGGCCGAUGUUGUUGACCUCGGCCACAUCAAUCUUACUAAGGUGGUGGAGGUGUGGAAACUACAUCUACAUUGACGACGGACUCAAGGAGAUCGCUGAGACUACUACUACUACUAUUACUAUUACUAUCCUCUAUACUGAUAUAUGUACUAUUAAAUCCUCUAUACAGCUACUAUGUGUACUAUUGAAUCCCUUAUAUAGUACUUCCAUGACAGCUGAUACUACUACUACUACUACUACUAUGACCACUCAAUCCCUGGUAAGUACAAUGUCAUUAUCAUCAUCAUUAUUUAGGUUAAGGUCCAUUUAAUUCAAUCUUCCUGAGCGGUUGGACGCUUUAUGGCUCUCCUCCAUUCUACUCUGUCUUCCCCCCAAUGCUUAUACGGUCCUAUCAAUCCCAAGUCUUCCUGUACACACCUUCUCCAUGUUUUCCUAGGUCUACCAACUGGUCUCCUUCCUUCUACCUCCAUUCUACUCUGUCUUCUGCCCAAUGCUCAUCCAAUCCCAUCAAUGCCAAGUCUUCCUGUAUACACCUUCUCCAUGUUUUCCUAGGUCUACCAACUGGUCUCCUUCCUUCUACCUCCAAUCUCUCCAACACUCCCAGCACUGUAUCCUCCCCUGCUCUCUUUACAUGUCCAAACCAUCGGAGUCUUUCCCUUCUGAGCACUGUUUCCAGGUCCUCUACUAAAACUCCCAGCACUGUAUCCUCCCCUGCUCUCUUUACAUGUCCAAACCAUCGGAGUCUUUCCCUUCUGAGCACUGUUUCCAGGUCCUCUACUAAAACUCCCAGCACUGUGUCCUCCCCUGCUCUCUUUACAUGUCCAAACCAUCGGAGUCUUUCCCUUCUGAGCACUGUUUCCAGGUCCUCUACUAAAACUCCCAGCA